rfam:Myotis davidii contig178397, whole genome shotgun sequence.
GGUGGUUCUUGGGUGACACACCCCGAAAUCGGGCUCCCUCCUCUCUGGUUCCAGGUGCACCUGAGAACCGCA